UGGGUAUAGCUAAGUGGUAGAGCACAUGCUUAGCAUGCACAAUGUACUAGGUUCAAUCCCUAGUACCUCAU
rnacentral:tRNA from 1 species